rnacentral:rRNA from 1 species
UACGAGGGGGGGCGAGCGUUUGUUCGGAAUUAUUGGGCGUAAAGGGUGCGUAGGCGGUUUGGUAAGUCUUAUGUGAAAUCUACAGGCUCAACUUGUAGUCUGCAUGAGAAACUGCCGGGCUUGAGUAUGGGAGAGGUGAGUGGAAUUCCUGGUGUAGCGGUGAAAUGCGUAGAUAUCAGGAGGAACACCUGUGGCGAAAGCGGGCUCACUGGACCAUAACUGACGC